rnacentral:rRNA from 1 species
UACGGGGGGAGCAAGCGUUAAUCGGAAUUACUGGGCGUAAAGCGCACGUAGUCGGCUUUGCAAGUCGGUUGUGAAAUCCCCGGGCUCAACCUGGGAACUGCAUCCGAGACUGCAUUGCUAGAGUAUGGGAGAGGAAAGCGGAAUUUCUGGUGUAGCAGUGAAAUGCGUAGAUAUCAGAAGGAACAUCAGUGGCGAAGGCGGCUUUCUGGACCAAUACUGACGAUCAGGUGCGAAAGCGUGGGGAGCAAACAGG